AGAGUUUGAUCAUGGCUCAGGAUGAACGCUAGCGGCAGGCUUAACACAUGCAAGUCGAGGGGUAGGAGCAGCUUGCUGCUUUGAGACCGGCGCACGGGUGCGUAACGCGUAUACAAUCUACCUUUUACAGAGGGAUAGCCCAGAGAAAUUUGGAUUAAUACCUCAUAGUAUUUUCGAAUCGCAUGAUUUGAUUAUUAAAGUUCCAACGGUAAAAGAUGAGUAUGCGUCCCAUUAGCUAGAUGGUAAGGUAACGGCUUACCAUGGCUACGAUGGGUAGGGGUCCUGAGAGGGAGAUCCCCCACACUGGUACUGAGACACGGACCAGACUCCUACGGGAGGCAGCAGUGAGGAAUAUUGGACAAUGGGCGCAAGCCUGAUCCAGCCAUGCCGCGUGCAGGAAGAAGGUCCUAUGGAUUGUAAACUGCUUUUAUACAGGAAGAAACACCUCUACGUGUAGAGACUUGACGGUACUGUAUGAAUAAGGACCGGCUAACUCCGUGCCAGCAGCCGCGGUAAUACGGAGGGUCCAAGCGUUAUCCGGAAUCCUUGGGUUUAAAGGGUCC
rnacentral:rRNA from 1 species